GAUGAAGAACGUAGUGAAAUGCGAUAAGUAAUGUGAAUUGCAGAAUUCAGUGAAUCAUCGAAUCUUUGAACGCACAUUGCGCCCCUUGGUAUUCCGAGGGGCAUGCCUGUUCGAGCGUCAUUAUAACCCCUCAAGCUCAGCUUGGUGUUGGGGCCUGCCGCACGGGCAGCCCUUAAAAUCAGUGGCGGUGCCAUCUGGCUCUAAGCGUAGUAAUUCUUCUCGCUAUAGAGUCCCGGUGGAUGCUUGCCAUUAACCCCCAAUUUUCUAUGGUUGACCUCGGAUCAGGUAGGGAUACCCGCUGAACUUAAGCAUAUCAAUAAGCGGAGGA
rnacentral:misc_RNA from 1 species